rfam:TPA: Bos taurus chromosome 10, whole genome shotgun sequence.
UCCCUGGUGAUGUAGUGGUUAGGAUUCUUGGUUUUCAUCCAGGUCACCCAGGUUUAAUUCCUGGGGAGGGAA